GACGAACGCUGGCGGCGUGCUUGACACAUGCAAGUCGAGCGGAAAGGCCCUUUGGGGUACUCGAGCGGCGAACGGGUGAGUAACACGUGAGUAACCUGCCUCUGGCUUUGGGAUAACCCUCGGAAACGGGGGCUAAUACCGGAUAUGACUGCUGGCUGCAUGGCUGGUGGUGGAAAGUUUUUUCGGCUGGGGAUGGGCUCGCGGCCUAUCAGCUUGUUGGUGGGGUGAUGGCCUACCAAGGCGGUGACGGGUAGCCGGCCUGAGAGGGCGACCGGCCACGCUGGGACUGAGACACGGACCAGACUCCUACGGGAGGCAGCAGUGGGGAAUAUUGCACAAUGGGCGGAAGCCUGAUGCAGCGACGCCGCGUGAGGGAUGACGGCCUUCGGGUUGUAAACCUCUUUCGGCAGGGACGAAGCCUUCGGGUGACGGUACCUGUAGAAGAAGCGCCGGCCAACUACGUGCCAGCAGCCGCCGUAACAC
rnacentral:rRNA from 1 species